GGCCUGAUAGCAUAAUGGUUAGUGCUUCUGGAAUUCGUAUAGACUCUAGGAACUUAUUAUGCAGAAAAUCCCUGUUCGAUUCGGGGUCAGGCCA